GGGGGAAGUGGCGAAAGGGGCAGUAAGGCGUGGGUAACCUACCCCGGGGACUGGGAUAGCCUUCCUAACGGAUGGGUAAUACCAGGCGAUUUGACGAGGGGGCAUCUCCUUGUCAGGAAAUGAAUUUCGCCUCGGGAGGGGCUCACGUGAUAUUAGCUAGUUGGCGGGGUAACGGCCCACCAAGGCAAAGAUGUCUAGCGGGUGUGAGAGCACGACCCGCGCCACUGGCACUGAGACACUGGCCAGACACCUACGGGUGGCUGCAGUCGAGGAUCUUCGGCAAUGGGCGCAAGCCUGACCGAGCGACGCCGCGUGUGCGAUGAAGGCCUUCGGGUUGUAAAGCACUGUCGAGGGGGAGGAAGGCGAAAGCUUGACCUAUCCCUGGAGGAAGCACGGGCUAAGUUCGUGCCAGCAGCCGCGGUAAGACGAACCGUGCGAACGUUGUUCGGAAUCACUGGGCUUAAAGGGCGCGUAGGCGGGUAAGCAAGUCCGGGGUGAAAGCCCCCAGCUCAACUGGGGAAGUGCCUUGGAAACUGCUUGUCUUGAGGGAGGUAGGGGUCUGUGGAACUUCGGGUGGAGCGGUGAAAUGCGUUGAUAUCCGAAGGAACGCCGGUGGCGAAAGCGACGGACUGGACCUCUUCUGACGCUGAGGCGCGAAAGCCAGGGGAGCAAACGGGAUUAGAUACCCUGGUAGUCC
rnacentral:rRNA from 1 species